UAGCGUAGGGUGCAAGCGUUGUUCCGGAAUUAUUGGGCGUAAAGAGCUCGUAGGCGGUCUGUCGCGUCUGCUGUGAAAACCUAGGGCUUAACUCUGGGCGUGCAGUGGGUACGGGCAGGCUAGAGUGCGGUAGGGGAGACUGGAAUUCCUGGUGUAGCGGUGAAAUGCGCAGAUAUCAGGAGGAACACCGGUGGCGAAGGCGGGUCUCUGGGCCGUAACUGACGCUGAGGAGCGAAAGCAUGGGGAGCGAACAGG
rnacentral:rRNA from 1 species